UACGAAGGGGGCUAGCGUUGCUCGGAAUCACUGGGCGUAAAGGGUGCGUAGGCGGGUCUUUAAGUCAGGGGUGAAAUCCUGGAGCUCAACUCCAGAACUGCCUUUGAUACUGAAGAUCUUGAGUUCGGGAGAGGUGAGUGGAACUGCGAGUGUAGAGGUGAAAUUCGUAGAUAUUCGCAAGAACACCAGUGGCGAAGGCGGCUCACUGGCCCGAUACUGACGCUGGAUGCGACGAAAGCGUGGGGAGCAAACAGG
rnacentral:rRNA from 1 species